rnacentral:tRNA from 1 species
AGAGCAUGGUGUAAUGGUAGCACGAAGAAUUUUGAAUUCUUAUGAUUAGGUUCAAAUCCUGUUGUUCUAG